GGACUCCGGAGGAUUCCGUUAAUCUUGCGUGUUUCUUGGACUGGUCUGUGGUGGACGAUGGGAGGCCUGAGACAGGGAGACGGUGUCUUUGCUGGGUGGCCUGCAGCUCGUACGGCGGCUCCACAAAGUAGAGCGAGUGCCGAGGGAAUCCUGGGAUUAUGUUGCUGAGCUGGAAGCCAAACAUCACCAGCCAGCUCUUCACGUCUACAGCAACUGGAGAAACGCUACCUCACUUCCUUCUCCUUCGAAUGACUGCACGUCCUUUUGGGUAUACACAAAUCGUACGCAGACUGCUUGUAUCAGAAUAGAAAUAAUACAGCAGCUUGGUCAUGUAUUCAGUUUUCCUAAUUGCUUUUUGGUUUCUCUAGUAAAAGAAGUGCAAUAAAAGAAAACAAAUGUGGUUUUAGGCUAGGUUGUAAACUGUGGGAGCAGCCCCACACAGUAACAUUUGUCUGGCCCGGUUCUGGCCCACACAAUGCAAUUAUUAUAAUAAUCGGCUAAAAGAUAUAUUAAUAGGCUCUCCCCCUACGUGGCCUUGAAGAGCUGUGGAUCUAAAUUCUCCUGGAUGUUUUC